rnacentral:rRNA from 1 species
UACGUAGGGGGCUAGCGUUGUCCGGAUUUAUUGGGCGUAAAGAGCGUGUAGGCGGCCAGGUAGGUCUGGUGUGAAAACUCGAGGCUUAACCUCGAGAUGUCAUCGGAAACCAUCUGCUAGAGUCCGGAAGAGGAGAGUGGAAUUCCUGGUGUAGCGGUGAAAUGCGCAGAUAUCAGGAAGAACACCAAUGGCGAAAGCAGCUCUCUGGGACGGUACUGACGCUGAGACGCGAAAGCGUGGGGAGCGAACAGG